AAACAGGUAGCUGACUUAUUAACCAUUUAAUUAUUUUCUAUUCAAGGCAUUAAACUAUAAAUCAUGAAGGGUCUGAGGAAUUUACCUAGUGCCAUUUCGGGUAGUUGUUGUUAAACACGAUGCAUAGGACUCUAGCUUUCCUUAUAAUAAUUUUGUGUCUGUACGUAUCACAAAUAUCAUCGACGCCAUAUUUAAACCAAAAUUCUAUGAUGAAAUUGGAGACGUUUUGCGGAAAAAAAUUGAGCAACACACUUAGCCUAAUUUGCAACGGAAUCUACAACACUCCUGUGUCAAAAAAAAAUGUUCGGGAUAUUUCUGCUUAUGGCAACCAAUACGAAGAAGGUAUUACUUAUGACGAUCUAUUUCCAUUCUGGGCGAUACCGAAUAUGGACAUAUAUAUGACCAAUAGGAAAGUUAGAAAAGGAUCCGG